CGAGCGAAUUUGGCCAAGGUUUUUUUUUGUCAGUGUCAGGUAUAAGAUUUGAGAUAAUCACGGCGGUGAAUAUGUCGAUGUUGAUCUCCUGGGUUUAAACACCAAGAGGUUUCACAGGUUGAUUCCUUUUUCACAGAAGAUAUGAAGUAGCGUAUUCUUCAGUACAGAUCGCCGUUUCAAUGGACAACAGGAACUUACAAACAGACCAAGGCAUUUUCACUUUCCGUUGGAGUAGAAAGCCAGUGACAUGGAAUGCAUUCAAUGCGACAUUUUACGUAUUAAGGAACGCAGACUGUGCGGGUCCCUCCCCUCCAAGGCGCUAAACGUUACAUAACUCCCGCAUCCAAUAGGCCAAGCUGUUAGGCUGUCAAACUACACGUAGCUACAACGCAGUAAACAGUCAUCCUAUGUAAUGAUAUAGUUCGUCUUCGCUUCAUCACUAUUCUAGGACGGCGUGCAAAAGCCUGAGAGUAAAACCAUGCUACGUCACUAACUGCCCGCAAAUAAAGUAACUCCGAUUGGAGGAGUCAGCAGAAACUUCUGUGACGCUUUAUAGCACUUCAUCAAAAUGAAUUUCCUGUGAAAGACGCAGUUAAUUAUUACAGACACAUAUAAAGACAUCCUUGACGUAACUAGGUAUAUACCAUGCCUGUUUAUGUAAAUAG